AUGCACAGCUGUUUUCCCUCUAUGAUGGAACGGAGCCACAGCCACGUCUGUUGCAGAGAGAAGUUUGCUCAUCACUCAAUUAGACCAUGUAUUGUUUACUAAUGAGUCCAGAUAAAGCCUGAACUGUGAUUCCAGACUGUUUUGAUCAGAACAGAGCAAGGAACACCCUUCCUUACCUUGUUCAUGGAAGAUCACAUUUCCACAAAAGCUUUAUGGUUUGGGAUGGAAUUCGCAAAAAUGAUCACAUCAAGCUGCUUUUCUUUGAUGGAGGUUCUGUAUCAAAUCACAAGUAUGUGGACAAGGAGUUGUCAUCUAAUAUAAGGGAUACUUUUUAGGGAUUCUGUUGGCCCAGAUUUUGAAUUAAUGGCUACAGUGCUCAACCACACUAAGUAUCUCCGGUGUUCAAAUAUUUGGAAACAGAAGAUAUUGUUAUGUCGAUGAUUAGAGUGACAAAUAAAUUGUGGUUGCAAAUGUCAAUUGAAAUAAAAUUGAAUAUUUAAUUUUA